ACGAAGUCCUAGUGUAUCUUCCUAAUAUUAUCUUUGAAAAGCAUUCAUUUAUAAUCUCCCUUGUAAUUUGCAAGUCUUUGAUUUCUGGUCUUUAUUCUUAAAUUUUCUAAUUUGAGUAGACAUUCCCGUUAGGCUGAAGUGUUUGGCCUUUCCUUCUCCCCUCCUGCUCAAGCUUCGCUAAGCUAUCGCUUGGUAAACAGAAGAAAGCACGAAUGUUACAUGAUUGUAGGCUGCUCCUAGGAGCAAUGGACCAUCCACCAGUGCAUCAUAUAAAUCGUAAAGGUAACAUGGUAGUACACUUUCUAGCAAGUUAUGGGAGUACCUGGGCCUCACAUGGCUUAAUCGGACCAUAUAAUGUAUUCUGAGAUGAGAUAUUUUUUAUUUCUAUGCACUACAGAAAACUUCAUUACCUAAUUUUUUUACAACAUAUAUAUAUUUCAUCUAUAAGGAUCCAAUCGAUUAUUAAUGUCUUCAAUUAAGAAAUUUAAUUACACCCUUUACCUUUUUUUCUCUUCUUCACUAGAUCACCAAAAAAGGGAAUUUUAUUACCCUUCUGUCAUAUUUUUAUCAACUUCGCUUUCCAUACUUGUGUGCAGGUUCUCUUCCAUGUCUCUUAGAAAUUUCCCUUUGUUUAUGUAGAAAAUUCCCUUUGUUUCUGUUGGACGUUCGAGUAUCUUUUUUCCCAUCCUUUUCCUUACUUGAUAAGUAUUUAUGUUAUAUAAUAUAUAAACAUUUUAUACACAAACAAGAAGAUCAAAGGCUUGGCUCCAUCUUAGAAUUGUUUUCUAUAUUGACCAUGAUGCGAUUUCAUAUUGUUCCAGCUCAUGACUAGCUAGUAUUUUGAGACUUCCUCUUCCUUGAGCUGCUAGAUAAAAGAAAGACUUUAUGCUGUAUACACUCUGAUAAUAUAAUUAUUUUUAAUAUUAUCGAAUUAAGUUGACUUACAAGAUACAACAUAUGAAACUCUUUGUGUUGUCAUCAGACAUGGUAAAAUUAAAAAAUAGAGUAGUAACAUGCACUACUAGAAUUUCUGUAAAUAGCGACCAAAAUUUUUUUUUUCAAGAAAAGCGAUCAAAGUUGGUCGUCAAACUACUAAAAAUAAUAAAAAAAAAUAUUUGAAACACUUAGCUAUUUGGUCGCAAAUUUAGUUAAAUUGUUAACUAGACUGGUCAGACUUGCUUGGUCAAAGAUAUACUGAGAUUAGCGACAAAAAUUGGUCGCUAAAGUGGGACCCACAUAAAUUUUUUUAAUAAUUUAAUUAUUAUUUUAUAAAAAUUAUAAAAUAUAAAAAUAUAAAACUUAAAACUGGCGACCAAAGUUGGUCGCUAAUUGAAGGAUAAGUUGAUAGUGACCAACACUGGUCGUUAAAGUGGGACCUAAUACAAUUUUAAGAAUUAUAUUAUUAAUUUAAAUAUUAUAUGAAAUAUAAUUAAAUUUAAUUUAAGUAUAACGACCAACUUUGGUCGCUAAACUAAAUUCUUGAAUAAAUAGCGACCAAAGUUGGUAUCUAUUCAUGUAACAACCUGACCGGUCGUUUUACUAUAUAGAACCCUGUUCCCUUAAGUAUAACUUUCCAUGUUCUCUUUAGCUAAAUUACGACUUGCGGGGGCGAUUAGUUCUGAAGUUAGAAGAAUUUAGAGUGAAAAUAAAACCAAUUAUUUCUUUAAGUUUUUCUAAUAAGGUCAAGUUUGACAUUUGUUAACUUUCUUGGAAAACGGACCUAGAUUUGUGAAUUAACGGUCCUGAAGGGUCCGUAAAAAAAAUAUGGGACCUGGGCGUAUUCUCGGAAUCGAAUUCCGAGGUCCCUAGCCCGAGUACGAAAUUUUUAUGUAAAAUUGUUAAAUCGAAGUUUUAAAGAAUCUAUGUAUUCCUUAAAAACCUAGGUAUUGGGUUCGGAUUCCGGUUCCAAAAUUUGUUAAUGUUCAAAAUAUCAGUUAAGACCUACCCGUAAGAUUUGGUGUCAAUCCGAGUAGUUUAAGGGCGUUUUGACCCGUUUAAAGGAAAUUAAGAACUUGAAGUUCAAUGAAUUGAUUCAAUUGAUUUUGGGGUUCGAUUCCUUGAUUUAACACUGUUUUGGGUGUUUCGAGGGUUUGACUAGGUACGCCUCGUAAUUUCAGACUUUUCGGUAUGUUCUGGCGGGGCUCGGGAGCCCCGGGCGUCAAAUGGUCGAGGUUCGAGCGAAGUUGAAACUUGGAGAAAACCAAACCUGCUGCUUCUGACAAAACCGCUUCUCCGGUUCUUGGCCUGCAGAAGCGGUCUAAUGGGUGCAGAAGCGGAAAGGGGUCAGGUAGAAGAAACUGCAGAAGCGGCCUUGCCCAGACUUCCCCGAACCACAAAAGCAGCUAUUUUUCUGCAGAAGCGAAAAUCCGCCCACAUAAGCGGAAAUCGCAGGGCAGAAUGGGUUCAUUAAAUGCAAACUCAACCUCAUUUUCUCACAUUUUUACUCUACAUUUGGGAGAAUUGGGAGCUUCCAAGGGAGGGCUUCCGUAUAAAUUGGCAAGGUAGGUGACUUUCUACAUUUUUAGCUUAAGUACUUUGUAUAAUGGGUAGAUUUAACACCAAAAAAUAUGGUAAAAUCAAAGGGUUAAAGCUAGAUCUAUCCUUAGGUGAUAGAGAACAACUUUCUUCGAAAAAUCUCGGGAUCUGGGCGCGUGGGCUCGGGGUCGGAAUUUAGAAAAUUUGCGGGAAAGGUAGUGAAAUCACUUAAAUAGUUGGGAUUCAACCUUGUAAGCCAUUAUUGACUAGUCCAUACAUUGUUUAAUUAGUCUGCGCCAUUUCGUCUUCGUUUUGAGGUUUUGGGCUUGUUCUUGGUAUUGGAAGUGCACUUUGGAGCGAGGUGAGUCUCCUUUCUAAGCUCGUGAGAGGGAAUUGUCCCUUUAGGACUAAUAAAUGAUAAAUUUCUAUUAAAUGCGGGGGCUACGUACGUACUAGGUGAUGUGAGUCCGUGCGUCGCUACUAUGAUAUUAAAUGUUUGGGUAGUUUAGGACCCACAUCAUGCCUAAAUUGAGAAUUUCAUUAUUUGAAUUAUCUAAAUGAUGUUUUAUGACAUGCUAGAGACUAGAGGAGAAUGAAAAAUAAAUAUGUAAUAAUUGUCGAACUUGGAAGGAUUAUUUUGUUGUACAUAAAUUAUGUCGUUGUGUGCAUUCUUGAUGUUGUCUUGAUAUUUGUGGAAUGGGCCGACUGCCUCGGUAAAAUAGAUGCAUCUAUGGUACGGACCGUUCGACCCUCGGCAGUGCACAGUUUAUAUUCUGUUAGAGCAAGCCGUCGACCUCGGCAUUGUUGCACAUGAUAUAUAUAUAUAUAUAUAUAUAUAUAUAUAUAUACACACACACACACACUAGACUUUCCAUGAUUUAUUGCCAAGUAUGUAAAAGGAGGAAAAUAAUAAAAGAAGUAUGAAUAUGACUUUCAUUGUAACUGUGGUUUAAUUAUAUAUCUAUGCUUUAAAUUGUACAUCAUCAUUAUGAUAUUAUCCUAAUCUAGUGGGUAUCAAGUCGACCUCUCAUCUCUAUUUUUUUGAGAUUAGACGGGAUACUCACUGGGUAUAUAUUGUUUAUGUACUCAUGCUACGGUUCUGUACUUAAUGUACAGGGUCUGAGGCUGAUUCAUCGAUUCAUCAGGAUAUCGAUCGAUUGUGAAUCAGUGAGUGGUUGUAGAGACUUCUACGGUGAGCUGCUUGCCUUCCUACAUCGCUCGGUAGCCCGACGGAGUCUUCUUUUGUAUUUUUGCUGUCUUUACCUUAUUUCAGACAGUAGGGUAGAGAUGUUGUAUAUUCUACUAGAUGGCCGUACAUUGUGGCACCAAGUUUUGGCACACACAAGCAUUAGCAAACUUGCUUUUGGGGUUGUAUAUUUUAUUUCCUACUAUAUUAUCUCUUUUCGUUCUAAACCCUAGUUGAAUUGAUAUUUCACUUAAAUUUGAGUA
rnacentral:lncRNA from 1 species